CACAUGCACUCACACUGUGGGCUCCCCGGCAGAGCCUCCCUCGUGCACAUGCACUCACACUGUGUGCUCCCCGGGAGAGCCUCCCUCGUGCACAUGCACUCACACUGUGGGCUCCCUGGGAGAGCCUCCCUCGUGCACAUGCACUCACACUGUGUGCUCCCUGGGAGAGCCUCCCUUGUGCACAUGCACUCACACUGAGUGCUGUGCCAGGUCCUGGAGGCACAACAAGAGUGAGAUGAGCAAGGCCUGACUCAGGCUCACACAGCGUGGUGGGGAGACACUUGCACAGAACAGGGCAGGGAUACUGUCAGGGGGUCCUGUGAUGGUGUAAGGGGUACAGGGAUGGAGAAACAGUGAUGGAGCAGAGAGUACUGUGAGUGGGAUACUGUGACAGUGGGUACUGUGAUGGGGCAGGGGUUCUGUGAGGGAGUACUGUGAUGGAGCAAGGGUUCUCUGAGGGAGUACUGUGAUGGGGCAGGCGUUCUGUGAGGGAGUACUGUGACAGGGCAGCGGUGCUGUGAGGGAGUACUGUGAUGGAGCAGGGGUUCUGUGAGGGAGUACUGUGAUGGAGCAGGGUUCUGUGAGGGAGUACUGUGAUGGGGCAGGGGUUCUGUGAGGGAGUACUGUGAUGGAGCAGUUUCUCUGUGAGGGAGUACUGUGAUGGAGCAGGGGUUCUGUGAGGGAGUACUGUGAUGGAGCAGGGGUUCUGUGAGGGAGUACUGUGAUGGAGCAGGGUUCUGUGAGGGAGUACUGUGACGGAGCACGGGUUCUGUGAGGGAGUACUGUGAUGGAGCAGGGUUCUGUGAGGGAGUACUGUGAUGGAGCAGGGUUCUGUGAGGGAGUACUGUGAUGGAGCAGGUUCUCUGUGAGGGAGUACUGUGACGGAGCAGGGGUUCUGUGAGGGAGUACUGUGAUGGAGCAGGGGUUCUGUGAGGGAGUACUGUGAUGGAGCAGGGUUCUGUGAGGGAGUACUGUGAUGGAGCAGGGGUUCUGUGAGGAAGUACUGUAAUGGAGCAGUGGUUCUGUGAGGGAGUACUGUGAUGGAGCAGGUGUUCUGUGAGGGAGUACUGUGAUGGAGCAGGGUUCUGUGAGGGAGUACUAUGAUGGGGCAGGUUCUCUGUGAGGGAGUACUGUGAUGGAGCAGUUUCUCUGUGAGGGAGUACUGUGA